rnacentral:rRNA from 1 species
UGCCAGCCGCCGCGGUAAUACGGAGGGAGCUAGCGUUGUUCGGAAUUACUGGGCGUAAAGAGCGUGUAGGCUGUUAGGUAAGUCAGAGGUGAAAUCCCUAAGCUCAACUUAGGAACUGCCUUUGAUACUAUCUUACUAGAGAUCGAGAGAAGUUAGCGGAAUUCCAAGUGUAGAGGUGAAAUUCGUAGAUAUUUGGAAGAACACCAGUGGCGAAAGCGGCUAACUGGCUCGAUUCUGACGCUAAGACGCGAAAGCGUGGGUAGCAAACAGGAUUAGAUA